rnacentral:rRNA from 1 species
AGAUUAAGUUAUUAAGGGCGCACGGUGGAUGCCUUGGCACUAGAAGCCGAUGAAGGACGUUACUAACGACGAUAUGCUUUGGGGAGCUGUAAGUAAGCUUUGAUCCAGAGAUUUCCGAAUGGGGAAACCCAGCAUGAGUUAUGUCAUGUUAUCGAUAUGUGAAUACAUAGCAUAUCAGAAGGCACACCCGGAGAACUGAAACAUCUUAGUACCCGGAGGAAGAGAAAGAAAAUUCGAUUCCCUUAGUAGCGGCGAGCGAAACGGGAAGAGCCCAAACCAACAAGCUUGCUUGUUGGGGUUGUAGGACACUCUAUACGGAGUUACAAAGGACGACAUUAGACGAAUCAUCUGGAAAGAUGAAUCAAAGAAGGUAAUAAUCCUGUAGUCGAAAAUGUUGUCUCUCUUGAGUGGAUCCUGAGUACGACGGAGCACGUGAAAUUCCGUCGGAAUCUGGGAGGACCAUCUCCUAAGGCUAAAUACUCUCUAGUGACCGAUAGUGAACCAGUACCGUGAGGGAAAGGUGAAAAGCACCCCGGAAGGGGAGUGAAAUAGAACCUGAAACCGUGUGCUUACAAGUAGUCAGAGCCCGUUAAUGGGUGAUGGCGUGCCUUUUGUAGAAUGAACCGGCGAGUUACGAUUUGAUGCAAGGUUAAGCAGUAAAUGUGGAGCCGUAGCGAAAGCGAGUCUGAAUAGGGCGUUUAGUAUUUGGUCGUAGACCCGAAACCAGGUGAUCUACCCUUGGUCAGGUUGAAGUUCAGGUAACACUGAAUGGAGGACCGAACCGACUUACGUUGAAAAGUGAUCGGAUGAACUGAGGGUAGCGGAGAAAUUCCAAUCGAACCUGGAGAUAGCUGGUUCUCUCCGAAAUAGCUUUAGGGCUAGCCUCAAGUGAUGAUUAUUGGAGGUAGAGCACUGUUUGGACGAGGGGCCCCUCUCGGGUUACCGAAUUCAGACAAACUCCGAAUGCCAAUUAAUUUAACUUGGGAGUCAGAACAUGGGUGAUAAGGUCCGUGUUCGAAAGGGAAACAGCCCAGACCACCAGCUAAGGUCCCAAAAUAUAUGUUAAGUGGAAAAGGAUGUGGCGUUGCCCAGACAACUAGGAUGUUGGCUUAGAAGCAGCCAUCAUUUAAAGAGUGCGUAAUAGCUCACUAGUCGAGUGACACUGCGCCGAAAAUGUACCGGGGCUAAACAUAUUACCGAAGCUGUGGAUUGUCCUUUGGACAAUGGUAGGAGAGCGUUCUAAGGGCGUUGAAGCAUGAUCGUAAGGACAUGUGGAGCGCUUAGAAGUGAGAAUGCCGGUGUGAGUAGCGAAAGACGGGUGAGAAUCCCGUCCACCGAUUGACUAAGGUUUCCAGAGGAAGGCUCGUCCGCUCUGGGUUAGUCGGGUCCUAAGCUGAGGCCGACAGGCGUAGGCGAUGGAUAACAGGUUGAUAUUCCUGUACCACCUAUAAUCGUUUUAAUCGAUGGGGGGACGCAGUAGGAUAGGCGAAGCGUGCGAUUGGAUUGCACGUCUAAGCAGUAAGGCUGAGUAUUAGGCAAAUCCGGUACUCGUUAAGGCUGAGCUGUGAUGGGGAGAAGACAUUGUGUCUUCGAGUCGUUGAUUUCACACUGCCGAGAAAAGCCUCUAGAUAGAAAAUAGGUGCCCGUACCGCAAACCGACACAGGUAGUCAAGAUGAGAAUUCUAAGGUGAGCGAGCGAACUCUCGUUAAGGAACUCGGCAAAAUGACCCCGUAACUUCGGGAGAAGGGGUGCUCUUUAGGGUUAACGCCCAGAAGAGCCGCAGUGAAUAGGCCCAAGCGACUGUUUAUCAAAAACACAGGUCUCUGCUAAACCGUAAGGUGAUGUAUAGGGGCUGACGCCUGCCCGGUGCUGGAAGGUUAAGAGGAGUGGUUAGCUUCUGCGAAGCUACGAAUCGAAGCCCCAGUAAACGGCGGCCGUAACUAUAACGGUCCUAAGGUAGCGAAAUUCCUUGUCGGGUAAGUUCCGACCCGCACGAAAGGCGUAACGAUUUGGGCACUGUCUCAACGAGAGACUCGGUGAAAUCAUAGUACCUGUGAAGAUGCAGGUUACCCGCGACAGGACGGAAAGACCCCGUGGAGCUUUACUGUAGCCUGAUAUUGAAAUUCGGCACAGCUUGUACAGGAUAGGUAGGAGCCUUUGAAACGUGAGCGCUAGCUUACGUGGAGGCGCUGGUGGGAUACUACCCUAGCUGUGUUGGCUUUCUAACCCGCACCACUUAUCGUGGUGGGAGACAGUGUCAGGCGGGCAGUUUGACUGGGGCGGUCGCCUCUCAAAAAGGAAACGGAGGCGCUCAAAGGUUUCCUCAGAAUGGUUGGAAAUCAUUCAUAGAGUGUAAAGGCAUAAGGGAGCUUGACUGCGAGACCUACAAGUCGAGCAGGGUCGAAAGACGGACUUAGUGAUCCGGUGGUUCCGCAUGGAAGGGCCAUCGCUCAACGGAUAAAAGCUACCCCGGGGAUAACAGGCUUAUCUCCCCAAGAGUUCACAUCGACGGGGAGGUUUGGCACCUCGAUGUCGGCUCAUCGCAUCCUGGGGCUGUAGUCGGUCCCAAGGGUUGGGCUGUUCGCCCAUUAAAGCGGUACGCGAGCUGGGUUCAGAACGUCGUGAGACAGUUCGGUCCCUAUCCGUCGUGGGCGUAGGAAAUUUGAGAGGAGCUGUCCUUAGUACGAGAGGACCGGGAUGGACAUACCUCUGGUGUACCAGUUGUCGUGCCAACGGCAUAGCUGGGUAGCUAUGUGUGGACGGGAUAAGUGCUGAAAGCAUCUAAGCAUGAAGCCCCCUCAAGAUGAGAUUUCCCAACUUCGGUUAUAAGAUCCCUCAAAGAUGAUGAGGUUAAUAGGUUCGAGGUGGAAGCAUGGUGACAUGUGGAGCUGACGAAUACUAAUCGAUCGAAGACUUAAUCAAAUU